UCGGGGGGCAAGUAGAGUGGCGCACGGGUGAGUAACACGUAGGUAAUCUACCUUUGGAUUGGGAAUAACAACCGGAAACGGUUGCUAAUACCGAAUAAUGCAGCGGCACCUAAUGGUGACAGUUGUUAAAGCGGGGGAUCGCAAGACCUCGCGUCUAAAGAGGAGCCUGCGGCGGAUUAGCUAGUUGGUAAGGUAACGGCUUACCAAGGCGAUGAUCCGUAGCCGGCCUGAGAGGGCGGUCGGCCACACUGACACUGACAUACGGGUCAGACUCCUACGGGAGGCAGCAGUCGGGAAUUUUGGGCAAUGGGCGAAAGCCUGACCCAGCAACGCCGCGUGAAGGAUGAAAUCCCUCGGGAUGUAAACUUCGCAAGAACGGGAAGAAUAAGUGAGAGUUAAUAUCUUUCACGAUGACGGUACUGUUUGUAAGCUCCGGCUAACUCCGUGCCAGCAGCCGCGGUAAUACGGGGGGAGCAAGCGUUGUUCGGAUUUACUGGGCGUAAAAGGCGCGUAGGCGGCCACCGCAAGUCGACUGUGAAAUCUCCGGGCUUAACCCGGAAAGGUCAGCCGAUACUGCGGGGCUAGAGUGCAGAAGGGGCAACUGGAAUUCUCGGUGUAGCGGUGAAAUGCGUAAAUAUCGAGAGGAACCCNUGCGGCGAAGGCGGGUUGCUGGGCUGACACUGACGCUGAAGCGCGAAAGCUAGGGGAGCGAACGG
rnacentral:rRNA from 1 species